rnacentral:rRNA from 1 species
GCCAGACUCCUACGGGAGGCAGCAGUGGGGAAUAUUGCACAAUGGGGGAAACCCUGAUGCAGCGACGCCGCGUGAGUGAAGAAGUACCUCGGUACGUAAAGCUCUAUCAGCAGGGAAGAAAAUGACGGUACCUGACCAAGAAGCCCCGGCUAACUACGUGCCAGCAGCCGCGGUAAUACGUAGGGGGCAAGCGUUAUCCGGAUUUACUGGGUGUAAAGGGAGCGUAGACGGCAGCGCAAGUCUGGAGUGAAAUCCCGGGGCUCAACCCCGGAACUGCUUUGGAAACUGCGCGGCUCGAGUGCAGGAGGGGCAGGCGGAAUUCCUAGUGUAGCGGUGAAAUGCGUAGAUAUUAGGAGGAACACCAGUGGCGAAGGCGGCCUGCUGGACUGUAACUGACGUUGAGGCUCGAAAGCGUGGGGAGCAAACAGGAUUAGAUACCCGGGUAAC